CAAUUAAGAAAAACCUCCAGGUAGGUAAGUCUUUGUAAUUAAUCAGUACUUGCGUUUUUUUUUUCUUUCUUACUUUGUUUUGUUGCCGUGGGUUUAAAAUUGUGAACCGACUCACGCCCCCAAUUUCCCUCGCUCACCCAUUAACAUUAAUCAUCUUCCUGAGAAAAUCGAUUGUUCAAAUUCAAAUCUUUGUGCCCUUAGAAUAAGAAAUUCAAGGAAUAAUGUCGGGCAUGGGAGAUGGUUAUGUGGGCACGGCCCAAGACGCCGUCAGAAUCCGACGGCUUGAAAAGCAGCGAGAAGCAGAGAGGCGAAAAAUUCAGGAGCUCAAGAACAAGACUGCUUCAUCUAAAGGUCAACCUGGUCUUCUUCAAUUUGGGUCCAGUACAUCUGAGAUUCUUGAAACUGCCUUCAAAAAGGAAACAGUGGGUCUUGUUACAAGGGAACAAUAUGUUGAAAAGAGGGUCACUAUCAAAACCAAGCUUGAAGAGGAAGAAAAGGAGAAGCUUCAGAAGUUGCAACAAGAGGAAGAAGAGCUACAGUUACAAAAGCUUAAAAAGAGGAAGAUUAAGGCUGACCCUCGGCUCUCCUUUUGUGAUGAUUUGGAUAAUGGCAAUGAAGAUGAAGAUGAGGAAAAUAAGAAUGAAGAAUCUGACAAGCGCGUGUGGAGAAAGUUUGGGAAAGAUCCUACAGUAGAGACAAGCUUCUUGCCGGACAGUGAGAGGGAGGCAGAGGAACAAGCAGAACGUGAAAGGCUCCGGAAACAGUGGUUGCGCGAGCAGGAGCUAAUCAAAAAUGAGCCUCUACAGAUAACUUACAGCUAUUGGGAUGGAACAGGCCAUAGGCGGGUGAUCCAGGUGCGGAAGGGUGAUAGCAUAGGAGAGUUUCUUCGGGCUGUUCAGCAGCAACUUGCACCUGAGUUUCGGGAGGUUCGAACUACUUCAGUGGAGAAUCUUCUUUAUGUGAAGGAAGAUCUAAUCAUUCCUCAUCAACACAGUUUCUAUGAGUUGAUUAUAAACAAAGCCAGAGGAAAGAGUGGACCGGUAAUGUUCAACCCCGACCUAUAUUCUGGUGAAGUUGAUGCAUCACGUUGCUUGUUGCUUAUGUCUAAGAAAAGAAGAAUACCAAGAUACCGUUUCCAAUUUUUUCACAUUAAUCAGUCAAAGAACUUUUUCACUUUGAUGUCCAUGAAGAUGUGCGGACCAUUGCUGAUGCUACUAUCGAGAAAGAUGAGUCGCAUGCUGGAAAAGUUGUAGAGAGGCAUUGGUAUGAAAAGAACAAGCAUAUCUUUCCAGCUUCACGGUGGGAGAUAUAUGACCCAACAAAGAAGUGGGAGCGAUAUACAAUUCACGGGGAUUAAGUGUCAUCGCCAAUGAGAUUGCCAUUUUUCAUCAUCAUUUGACAUGUUAAAGACAGAAAGGGCUUAAACUAUAGUUUUUACUUGUACGAUGUUUGUGUAAGAUCAAAGGAGGUGCUGAUGUAUUUCGUCUACUCCCAAUAUAUUAUACUUUUUGGAUUAAGAACUCCUACUCUAGAUUAUUAAUGUAUUGAAAUUUGUUUUACUAUUUGUAUUACUUAUUCUACUUUGUUUUCCAGUUUC